rnacentral:rRNA from 1 species
GAUGAACGCUGGCGGCGUGCCUAAUACAUGCCAGUCGAGCGAACGGACGAGAAGCUUGCUUCUCUGAUGUUAGCGGCGGACGGGUGAGUAACACGUGGAUAACCUACCUAUAAGACUGGGAUAACUUCGGGAAACCGUAGCUAAUACCGGAUAAUAUUUUGAACCGCAUGGUUCAAAAGUGAAAGACGGUCUUGCUGUCACUUAUAGAUGGAUCCGCGCUGCAUUAGCUAGUUGGUAAGGUAACGGCUUACCAAGGCAACGAUGCAUAGCCGACCUGAUAGGGUGAUCGGCCACACGGGAACUGAGACACGGUCCAGACUCCUACGGGAGGCAGCAGUAGGGAAUCUUCCGCAAUGGGCGAAAGCCUGACGGAGCAACGCCGCGUGAGUGAUGAAGGUCUUCGGAUCGUAAAACUCUGUUAUUAGGGAAGAACAUAUGUGUAAGUAACUGUGCACAUCUUGACGGUACCUAAUCAGAAAGCCACGGCGAACUACGU